rnacentral:misc_RNA from 1 species
GAUGAAGAACGUAGCGAAAUGCGAUAAGUAAUGUGAAUUGCAGAAUUCAGUGAAUCAUCGAAUCUUUGAACGCACAUUGCGCCCGCCAGUAUUCUGGCGGGCAUGCCUGUUCGAGCGUCAUUACAACCCUCAGGCCCCCGGGCCUGGUGUUGGGAUCGGCGGAGCCCCCCGUGGGCACACGCCGUCCCCCAAAUACAGUGGCGGUCCCGCCGCAGCUUCCAUCGCGUAGUAGCUAACACCUCGCGACUGGAGAGCGGCGCGGCCACGCCGUAAAACACCCAACUCUUCUGAAGUUGACCUCGAAUCAGGUAGGAAUACCCGCUGAACUUAAGCAUAUCAAUAAGCGGAGGA